UCCUACGGGGCGCAGCAGUGGGGAAUAUUGCACAAUGGGGGAAACCCUGAUGCAGCAACGCCGCGUGAGUGAAGAAGUCAUUCGUGAUGUAAAGCUCUAUCAGCAGGGAAGAAAAUGACGGUACCUGACUGAGAAGCCCCGGCUAACUACGUGCCAGCAGCCGCGGUAAUACGUAGGGGGCAAGCGUUAUCCGGAUUUACUGGGUGUAAAGGGAGCGUAGACGGCAUAGCAAGUCUGAUGUGAAAGAUCGGGGCUCAACCCCGGGCCUGCAUUGGAAACUGUUAAGCUGGAGUACAGGAGAGGUA
rnacentral:rRNA from 1 species